rnacentral:rRNA from 1 species
GAUGAACGCUGGCGGCGUGCUUAACACAUGCAAGUCGAACGAAGCACUUUAUUUGAUUUCCUUCGGGACUGAUUAUUUUGUGACUGAGUGGCGGACGGGUGAGUAACGCGUGGGUAACCUGCCUUGUACAGGGGGAUAACAGUUGGAAACGGCUGCUAAUACCGCAUAAGCGCACAGCAUCGCAUGAUGCAGUGUGAAAAACUCCGGUGGGAUAAGAUGGACCCGCGUUGGAUUAGCUAGUUGGUGAGGUAACGGCCCACCAAGGCGACGAUCCAUAGCCGAGCUGAGAGGGGGACCGGCCGCAGUGGGACUGAGACACGGCCCAAACUCCUACGGGAGGCAGCAGUGGGGAAUAUUGCACAAUGGGCGAAAGCCUGAUGCAGCGACGCCGCGUGAGCGAAGAAGUAUUUCGGGAUGUAAAGCUCUAUCAGCAGGGAAGAUAAUGACGGUACCUGACGAAGAAGCACCGGCUAAAUACGUG